GACGAACGCUGGCGGCGUGCUUAACACAUGCAAGUCGAACGGAAAGGCCCUGCUUUUGUGGGGUGCUCGAGUGGCGAACGGGUGAGUAACACGUGAGUAACCUGCCCUUGACUUUGGGAUAACUUCAGGAAACUGGGGCUAAUACCGGAUAGGAGCUCCUGCUGCAUGGUGGGGGUUGGAAAGUUUCGGCGGUUGGGGAUGGACUCGCGGCUUAUCAGCUUGUUGGUGGGGUAGUGGCUUACCAAGGCUUUGACGGGUAGCCGGCCUGAGAGGGUGACCGGCCACAUGGGGACUGAGGAACGGCCCGGGCGCCAAGGGGGGGAAAGGGGGGGGAAUUUGGAAAGAGGGGCGGAGGGCGGAGGCAGCAACGCCGGGGGGGGGAGGACGGCCUUGGGGUUGUAACCCGCUUUCGCCUGGGAAGAGGCGUGGGUGAGGGUAAUGGGUAAAGAAGCACCGGCUAACUACGU
rnacentral:rRNA from 1 species